rnacentral:rRNA from 1 species
GUCUACAGCCAUACCACCCUGAAUGCUCCUGAUCUCAUCUGAUCUCAGAAGCUAAGCAGGGUUGGGCCUGGUUAGUGCUUGGAUGGGAGAAAAUCAGGCACAUGAAGGCU